rnacentral:lncRNA from 1 species
CUUUGUGGCUCGAAGUCCUUCGAAUUCCGAGAACUAAAGGAAAACACAUCAAUAUAAAUGGCUAGAAUCUGAUUAGCCUUCGGCUUUGCCCUUGGCACGAUUUACAUAUUUCCCGGGGCAAGCAACUGGUAGUUGAUUCUAAAAUUUCCACACGACAUGUGUGGUCCAACUCGAAAAGGCCAUGUAGCGAAAACUAAAGAAGAUCGGUGAUCUUCCUUUUACGAGGUCUAUAUCGUGUCACAUGCCUAUGUGAUUUAGUUUUGCAACCAUUCUAGAUAAUUCCUGCUCCAUCACAUCUUCUCAUAUCUCGUCGGUUCUUCUCUCGCAGUCACCACUUAUAUGCUCUACCAAUCGAGUGGUACAUAUAAAUAUUCUAACAAGAUGUCAAACUGUAUGAACAAGAUUUCUAUAUCUAUUUUGCUAAAGGUGGAGUGAUGUAUAAUGAGAGAGGAAAUUAUUCUUAUGAUGAAGGUUGUAUUGGAUUUUUUUAAGGAUGAAGGUUGUAUUAGGUAAGCAGAAGCAUUAUACGGAGAAGGAUGGUCACCGAGGGCCCAUGUAUGAAAUAAUUCCUGAUAAUAUCGAAAGCCCAUUUGAGGUGUCAUGAUAAGGUGAUG